rnacentral:rRNA from 1 species
CAGCAGCCACGGGAAUACGGAGGGAGCUAGCGUUGUUCGGAAUUACUGGGCGUAAAGCGCGCGUAGGCGGUUACUCAAGUCAGAGGUGAAAGCCCGGGGCUCAACCCCGGAACUGCCUUUGAAACUAGGUGACUAGAAUCUUGGAGAGGUCAGUGGAAUUCCGAGUGUAGAGGUGAAAUUCGUAGAUAUUCGGAAGAACACCAGUGGCGAAGGCGACUGACUGGACAAGUAUUGACGCUGAGGUGCGAAAGCGUGGGGAGCAAAUAGGAUUAGAUACCCCUGUAGUCCCUGUCUCUUAUAC